AUUUUUUCUUUGGCAAUACUUUAAAAAUGUAGCAUAACUGAAAACAGAUUUUCCCCAAAAGUCAGCUGUCCUCUGUAUAUAGUACAAACGACCACAUCUAGAACCAGUGGUUCCCUGCGGCGGCUCAAUUUUUGAUUU